rnacentral:misc_RNA from 1 species
GAUGAAGAACGCAGCGAAAUGCGAUAAGUAGUGUGAAUUGCAGAAUUCAGUGAAUCAUCGAAUCUUUGAACGCACAUUGCGCCCGCCAGUAUUCUGGCGGGCAUGCCUGUUCGAGCGUCAUUUCAACCAUCAAGCCCCCGGCUUGUGUUGGGGACCUGCGGCUGCCGCAGGCCCUGAAAAGCAGUGGCGGGCUCGCUGUCACACCGAGCGUAGUAGCAUACAUCUCGCUCUGGGCGUGCUGCGGGUUCCGGCCGUUAAACCACGUUCAUAACCCAAGGUUGACCUCGGAUCAGGUAGGAAGACCCGCUGAACUUAAGCAUAUCAAUAAGCGGAGGA